GCAUAAUGCCGAUAAAACACAGAGUGAUAAAUUACAGUGUUGAACUUCCCAAACCAAGCUUGCAAAGGUUGUUUCAGACCAUAGAUUGACUUACGUAAUUGACAUACUAGACUACUAAACUCCCACCGAGCAACAAAAGUAGGUGGUUGCUCCAUAUAGACUUCUUCACAAUGCAGAGGUUGUCGAAAAGUGCUCAAAAUCUAGUAUAAGCAUAUGGAUCAUGUUGGAAUCAAUAGAUGAGUCGAUAUUAAACAAGAAAGUCACUAAAAAAUCUGGCAGAAACAUGCUCAUAUGCCAGAGUAUUAGAUUUGAUGGCUAAAAGUGGUCACAAUUAAACAAAUAAUAUUAUAUGGGUAGAGUGAUAAAUUACAGUGUUGAACUUCCCAAACCAAGCUUGCAAAGGUUGUUUCAAACCAUAGAUUGACUUACGUAAUCGACAUACUAGACUACUAAACUCCCACUGAGCAACAAAAGUAGGUGGUUGCUCCAUAUAGACUUCUUCACAAUGCAGAGGUCGUCGAAAAGUGCUCAAAAUCUAGUAUAAGUAUAUGGAUCAUGUUGGAAUCAAUAGAUGAGUCGAUAUUAAACAAGAAAGUCACUGAAAAUCUGGCCGAAACAUGUUCAUAUGCCAGAGUAUUAG
rnacentral:lncRNA from 1 species